AUUGAACGCUGGCGGCAUGCUUUACACAUGCAAGUCGAACGGCAGCGCGGGGCAACCUGGCGGCGAGUGGCGAACGGGUGAGUAAUACAUCGGAACGUACCCAGAGGUGGGGGAUAACGUAGCGAAAGUUACGCUAAUACCGCAUACGUUCUACGGAAGAAAGUGGGGGAUCUUCGGACCUCAUGCUUUUGCAGCGGCCGAUGUCUGAUUAGCUAGUUGGUGAGGUAAAGGCUCACCAAGGCGACGAUCAGUAGCUGGUCUGAGAGGACGACCAGCCACACUGGGACUGAGACACGGCCCAGACUCCUACGGGAGGCAGCAGUGGGGAAUUUUGGACAAUGGGCGCAAGCCUGAUCCAGCAAUGCCGCGUGAGUGAAGAAGGCCUUCGGGUUGUAAAGCUCUUUUGUCAGGGAAGAAACGGCUGGGGCUAAUAUCCCCGGCUAAUGACGGUACCUGAAGAAUAAGCACCGGCUAACUACGUGCCAGCAGCCGCCGUAA
rnacentral:rRNA from 1 species